rnacentral:rRNA from 1 species
UACGGAGGGAGCUAGCGUUGUUCGGAAUUACUGGGCGUAAAGCGCACGUAGGCGGCUUUGUAAGUUAGAGGUGAAAGCCCGGGGCUCAACUCCGGAACUGCCUUUAAGACUGCAUCGCUUGAAUCCAGGAGAGGUGAGUGGAAUUCCGAGUGUAGAGGUGAAAUUCGUAGAUAUUCGGAAGAACACCAAUGGCGAAGGCAGUUCUCUGGGACGGUAC